GUGCUCACUUCGGCAGCACAUACACUAAAAAUUGGAAUGAUACAGAAAAGAUUAGCAUGGCCUCUAAGCAAGAAUGACACAAAUUCGUGAAGUGUUCCAUAUUUUU